AAAUAGAGAAAGGUGAUGAUGAUUAAACUACUAAAAGUCUGUUUCUCGUGCUUCAGUGACCUGCAGUGAAAAUUCGGAUUUGUUUAUUGUUGUGAUUAGAGUGAAAUCUUCUAUCUGAAUCAUUUUGUUUGCUCCUCAGUGUAGUUUGGUGUGGCUCUGCACUCAGGUAAGGGGCUUGGCCUCAAAUCUGAAGGCAGAGAUUGGACGUUAGAAGUGAUUUGAAUGCUUUAUUGGGAGCUUCUUAUUUCAUUGUACUUUAUGUUUAUGUACAAAUUGUGUUCAUGGACGGUUACAAACUAUUGUAUCUGUAUCAGUCCGAUAUUAUGCUUGUUUACUGAUAAAAAUGGUUCUGAUACCGGCAUGUGGUUCCAGGAGAUACUACAUGACGUAAUCCUAGUGUACGUCACUAGCAGCAUGCGACAAAAACCAACAUAAACAGAGCAAAAUAAAAUGUUCUGAGAUGUUCCUGAUCUUAUUUGGGUAUCCGUAUUGGCAAGUCCUCAUAAAUAGUUCCUUCGAGGUACUGUAGAGUUUGUAGUUUUGGGUCAUUUGCUGCUGCUUGGAGGGUCAUUCUUUAUUUUGGCCAUGUGGUGGCAGUAUAACAGCACAUGUAUAAGUGUGUGUGUGUGUGUGUGUGUUUCAGUGCCAGGACCCUCCCCUGGGGAACAGGCGAGUGAGAAACAGUCCAGACUUCAGACUUAAAAAACAUCUAUAACCUCAAAGCAUGUCAUCCAGCCAGCUGGCAGCGAGCCCCGGCGUGGCCCGGCGUUCCCACAGGGAGGGAGUGUGUGUGUGUGUGAGAGAGAGAGAGAGAGAGAGAAAUAUGUGGUGUAUAUGUGUGUUUUUUCUGCAUUUUUACACCUCAGGCGCUUUGCUCACAUGUUACUCAUCUCAAUACCAUAAAAUAAAAGCUCCUCAUGCUUGGUGUUGGUGUUACGUUUCUCCAUCAAUCUAACACCCAAAAACGGUGACGUGCGCACAUCUGCUGAUGAAAACGCACCCAGAUUGAUGGUGAGAUGAUGAGCAGAUAAACUUGGUGUGAAAUGUUUCCUCAUUUGUCAGCAAGAACUUGCAAAAUAUCUCAGUGUGAAAGAAUGAAAGAUAUAAAAACCAUUUCUGGCGUGGAUGUGAAGGAUAUCAGGAACAGAU
ensembl:lncRNA